UCUGCUAGGUUCGUCCAAACCUCGGAAGCGCUUUGUUCAACUUGGCGCUGCUUCUGUCAGAAGAAAGUAGACCAUUGGAAGCCUUUGUAUACCUCAAAAGGCUACUAAAGAGCCAACCAGAUCACGUUAAGGGAUUGAUCCUUAUGGGAGACAUCUACAUCAGCCACUUUCGAGACCUUGAAGCUGCAGAGGAGUGCUACAUUAAAAUUCUCCAAUAUGAUCCCGACAAUAUUCAAGGCUUACACAACCUUUGUGUGGUAUACUACCAACGUCAGCAACUGGUAGAAGCCGAGGCUUGUUUUCAAAAGGCCCUCACACAAAGUCCAAACACGGAGUAUAUUCGUCAACACCUAGAGGUAACCAGACGUCAGCUCCAGCAGGUGGCGGCACAGGUUAAAGAAAAUGAUCCUUUAGACAACAUGAACGUACCCCGCGAUCCAGCUGUUCUUCAACAAAUCUCUUCGUCACCAACGAUCAGGUGAUUGCAAGUUUAAAAAAAAAUGUCCUCAGACCAUUGUCCAAAAACACGUUAAAGUGUUAGAAGCAUCUAUUGUCGAUACAUGCAUUGGUUCUUGGAGAGAUGAGAUGGUCACGUUUACUCCUCAUCUUAUCUCGUAAUCGUUACCUUUGAAUGGCAUUAAUCAAGUGCUAGAGCUAAUAAACCUACGAACACUGUUUUCCACCAUCUUUCAAGUGCUAGGCCUAAGAAGACUAUGAAUACACUCGUUGCAGGCCUAUUGUAUUCAAAACCCAAAUAAUGGGACAGAAAAGUAUUUAGUAAUGUGCCAAUGUUAUAUGUUUAAUACAAGCUUUUAAGCUUUGCAUAUUUGUAAUGUUAUUAUUGGAUAACUUGUCAUAAAGUAUUGCUCAGUGUUGGAAAUGGCCUUGUUAUGUGAACAGGCCAUGUUUCUGUAAAACAAAGAUAUUUCCAUCAGACGAUUAGGAACUGUGAUACUCUUUUUUUUUCUUCUUUUUUACUCUCUGUCGGAGACAUGUUAUUAAUGAAUGAGUUUUUAUGUCAAUCUAUUCGCAUAGUUAUAAUUUUUAUUAAAUAUAUUUAAUACCUGUA